rnacentral:rRNA from 1 species
GGCCAGACUCCUACGGGAGGCAGCAGUGGGGGAUAUUGCACAAUGGGGGGAACCCUGAUGCAGCGACGCCGCGUGGGUGAAGGAGCGUUUCGGCGCGUAAAGCCCUAUCGGCAGGGAAGAAGGAGGACGGUACCUGACUAAGAAGCCCCGGCUAACUACGUGCCAGCAGCCGCGGUAAUACGUAGGGGGCAAGCGUUAUCCGGAUUUACUGGGUGUAAAGGGUGCGCAGGCGGCACGGCAAGCCGGCGGUCAAAUCGCGGGGCUCAACCCCGCCCAGCCGUCGGAACUGCCGGGCUAGAGUGGGCGAGAAGUGCGCGGAAUGCGUGGUGUAGCGGUGAAAUGCAUAGAUAUCACGCAGAACUCCGAUUGCGAAGGCAGCGCACCGGCGCCCUACUGACGCUCAGGCACGAAAGCGUGGGUAUCGAACAGGAUUAGAUACCCUUUGUAC